rnacentral:rRNA from 1 species
UCUGGCUCAGAUGAACGCUGGCGGCAGGCCUAACACAUGCAAGUCGAACGGUAACAGGAAGCAGCUUGCUGCUUGCUGACGAGUGGCGGACGGGUGAGUAAUGUCUGGGAAACUGCCCGAUGGAGGGGGAUAACUACUGGAAACGGUAGCUAAUACCGCAUAAUGUCGCAAGACCAAAGAGGGGGACCUUCGGGCCUCUUGCCAUCGGAUGUGCCCAGAUGGGAUUAGCUUGUUGGUGAGGUAACGGCUCACCAAGGCGACGAUCCCUAGCUGGUCUGAGAGGAUGACCAGCCACACUGGAACUGAGACACGGUCCAGACUCCUACGGGAGGCAGCAGUGGGGAAUAUUGCACAAUGGGCGCAAGCCUGAUGCAGCCAAUGCCGCGUGUAUGAAGAAGGCCUUUGGGUUGUAAAGUACUUUCAGCGGGGAGGAAGGGGUUAAGGUUAAUAACCUUAGCCAUUGGCGUUACCCGCAGAAGAAGCACCGGCUAACUCCGUGCCAGCCGCGGC